UCCAGACUCCUACGGGAGGCAGCAGUGGGGGAUAUUGCACAAUGGGGGGAACCCUGAUGCAGCGACGCCGCGUGGGUGAAGGAGCGUUUCGGCGCGUAAAGCCCUAUCGGCAGGGAAGAAGGAGGACGGUACCUGACUAAGAAGCCCCGGCUAACUACGUGCCAGCAGCCGCGGUAAUACGUAGGGGGCAAGCGUUAUCCGGAUUUACUGGGUGUAAAGGGAGCGUAGAUGGCAAUGCAAGUCUGGAGUGAAAGGCGGGGGCCCAACCCCCGGACUGCUCUGGAAACUGGGUGUCUUGAGGGCAGGAGAGGAAAGUGGAAUUCCUAGUGUAGCGGUGAAAUGCGUAGAUAUUAGGAGGAACACCAGUGGCGAAGGCGACUUUCUGGACUGUACCUGACGCUGAGGCGCGAAAGCGUGGGUAGCGAACGGGAUUAGAUACCCCAGUA
rnacentral:rRNA from 1 species